rnacentral:misc_RNA from 1 species
ACUAAACAAGGACCAGUUUAGAACAACCAGUUGCAGACUAAUUAUUCGCAUCAUUCAACAUAUAAUCAUGCACCAAGAUGGGAAUCAUGUGCUGCAGACAAACUGCUUCUGAUAUCUGCAUAGCAUGAUGUAUGAGGCCAGGGACCACUUCCAACCAAUACAUGUCUUGCAAUUGAAGCUCAAAACCUGCUAAUGAGCUAAGCUACACCAACCCAUGUCAAGGCAUAUGCAUGUUCCUAUUGAUUAUGAUAUUAGUUUUAAAUUUAAGCUCAAUCACAACUCAUUUACCAAAAGAAGUUGAGCCAAGUACAGUCUCAUUCAAAUUUGGCUAGCUCAUUAAAUGAGUCAAAAGACAAGUUCAUGUUUGACUAUUUUUUAUACAGGGUUUAAUUAAAGGUUACAGAUUGCAGAUUAAUACAUAACAAACAAACAAUAUCUUACCGCAAACUCUUGAAUUGUUUACAAAUGGUUUAGUUCAUUUGCAUCUAAAAGAAUUUAUAUACAUAGUAUGUAAUAACUCAGUCAAAAGCUGUAAAUGAAUCACUCACAAAAUUAACAGAACAUUUAUUUAAGAAAUUUCAACAUUGCUAACAAUACUUGUUCUUUUAAAGAUUGUUGUUUAUGAUCAAAUAUAUGAAUUUUACAUUACAAUAAGAGAACGGGAGGUUCGUUAAAGUAAAGGAGUGGAGAAGGGAAGGAAAGUAAAAAAGUCUAACCUUCUUUUGUUUGGGAUAUUUGAGGGAAUUGGAGGAGGUAAAUAUUAAAGUUACAAAAAUACCUGUCCUUAAAAAAGACAAAUACAAACAUUUAUAUUUUAAUAGUUGAACUUACUUUUCAUUACUCAAAAAUCAGUAACUUUAUUAUAAGUAAUAUAAAAUUGAAUCUAUAGUUAUUAAAAUUUCUG